AGGAUGAACGCUGGCGGCGUGCCUAACACAUGCAAGUCGAACGUCCUGUCUCGCAAGAGGCAGGGAGUGGCGGACGGGUGAGUACCACGUGGGUCAUCUACCGUGAGGUGAGGAAUACCGGCGAGAAAUCGCCGACAAGACCGCAUAGCCUCGGUGCAAGCCGAGGAAAGCUUUCUCGAGAGAGGGAGCGCCACACGAGGAGCCUGCGCCCGAUUAGCUAGCUGGUGGAGUAACGGUUCACCAGGGCGACGAUCGGUAGCUGGUCUGAGAGGACGAUCAGCCACACUGGGAUUGAGAACGGCCCAGACUCCUACGGGGGGCAGCAGUGAGGAAUUUUCGUCAAUGGGGGCAACCCUGAACGAGCAACGCCGCGUGCAGGAGAAGGUUUUCGGAUCGUAAACUGCUUUUCUCGGGGUAAGAGAACGGACGGUACCCGAGGAAUCAGCCCGGCUAACUACGCGCCAGCAGCCGCGGUAA
rnacentral:rRNA from 1 species